GCCGCAUCGCCUUCCAUCGAGGUAUUCUUUACUUUGAGAUAUUCUGUAUUUACCAGGGUAACUCAUUCACAUUGAGCGUAAGCUAACCAUAUGUAAAUCACCGGUGGUAAACAUCCAUUUAGGCACGGUCUCUGGCGGAAGUACCUGUUGAAGAACAUGAGUAAUAAUAACAUAGUUAGCUAAACUAGUUUUGUUUAAGAACAAUGUAUGAAAAAGAUGAACUAAUGACGCAAUGGUAAAAAAAC
rnacentral:lncRNA from 1 species